GGUAUAUUUCUUCUAAAGCUAAAUAUAGGCCAGAGACCGAUAGCGCACAAGUAGAGUGAUCGAAAGAUGAAAAGCACUUUGAAAAGAGGGUUAAACAGCACGUGAAAUUGUUAAAAGGGAAGCGCUUGUGACCAGACUUGCGUCCGGUGAAUCACCCAGCUCUCGCGGCUGGGGCACUUCGCCGGCACAGGCCAGCAUCAGCUUGCCGUCGGGGACAAAAGCUUCAGGAACGUAGCUCUCUUCGGGGAGUGUUAUAGCCUGUUGCAUAAUACCCUUCGGCGGGCUGAGGUACGCGCUCCGCAAGGAUGCUGGCGUAAUGGUCAUC
rnacentral:rRNA from 1 species